ACCCACCUGGCUCGUGCUCCUGCACGCACCGUGCGCGCAUGUGUUUAGUCGAGAGCAUAACUCUAAUUUUCUCUCAAGUAACUUGCUUAAGAAUAAAGGAAUAUAUAAAUACCAAUAACACACUUUUAGUUUCCAAUGUGGGACUAUUCCUCACAUGUGGAAACCUUAGUUGGGCUUCUAAGCAAGGCCCAUCAAUUAUUGGGUUCCCCAAGAGGCUCAUGAAGUUUAAAAUCACCAAAAAUCCAAUAAAAU
rnacentral:lncRNA from 1 species